CGCGUCCGGCAGGUGUGCGUGGGUUUUAUAUUUCCUUGAACCGAUGCUCGUUGAGCAAGGGCUUGGAACAUCGUGGGGCUGGUGUGAUCGUCUCGCGUCAGAUGAACCCGAAGCCACUCUGACCUCGCCCACCUGGAUCUGACCAUAAGGGUUCAGGAAUGCGGCCCACGGCGCCUGUCGGACACCC
rnacentral:other from 1 species